CCGGCACCCGUGACGUCACCCCAGCCUUAUCCUCCGGAUACGCUACAACCAAAGUCAGAAAAACUGUGGAAUAGUUACUCCCACAACGUGGUCUCUAAGCCUAAAGAGAAAGAGAUCUCUACAGAUGUAAUAGACGACACCCAGGAUGUUGUACAUCCCGACAUCAUUCGAGUUACACCUUCAGAAGGUUAUUCUGCUGUUUCUGAAAAAAGUACUUUCCCCGGCUCGGCGUCAUCUCUUCCGUUGCCACGACCACUUGUGGCUAUAAGCUUGGUUUUUUUGCUUGGAAUGUGCAGCCACUAGACCGUCACAUCCCUGGCUCCAGAUGAAGAGGUAUGUGGGAAAAGACUAUGAUGAUGGUGUUUACCCAGAACUCGAUGUUCAGCAAUUUUCUUAGGAAAACUCUUUUCAGUGACAAAAUAUAAUAUUUAUAAGCAGCCACCUGUCACUGACACUGUACCCUCAUAUCUAUUCGUGUUGAUUAUCAAGAACAAUAGGAAAAGCGAUAGCUCUCACAGUGUGCCAAAGUUAUCAUAGAGGAUACAUCAGUACCACGCCCCCUAGCGUUGCUCAAAUAGGACUCCUAACCAGCUUUCCUGAGACUGGAACUUUCAUCUUCCGCUCUUUGCUUUUGUAGUCAGUUUCACUGGAUCAUAACUGGUGGCAGCCGGUAAAGUUAUCCGGAUUAAAACAUGUUGUAAUAUCUUGUCAAAGUUGAUAGAAUUAAGAUUUAAUUUAAGAUUGAAAGCUCUUAUUCACAACUAAUCAUUACGUCAAAGUCAGGGUAACCAUGUUAUCUCAGUGCUUUGUCUAUAUUGAUUUCACAAACUCUGGCAAAGUUUAUAACUCCCACACGUUGCGUUAAGAUAUCUGUAUAUUAAUGCUUAACUAAUGACGUCCUCUGGUGAGAAACUGCCAAACUUGUUUUGGUGCUGACUUCCGGAAUCCCUGAUAUUCUUCUUCAUAAUACUACUGUCACGGAGUUUAGAUAUUCCAACGUGUGCUCUCAUUAAAAUGUCCAUAUAAGUCACUUUCGAGAAGUAUUCUAGUCACAUCUUUGCAUUAUCUUCUUUUGUAACAUUCAGGAGUUUCUCAUUUACAAAAUGCCGUAGUUAAGAAAUUAGUAAUGUUUUAAAUUUUACGUAGUUGCAUCAAAUUUAAUAAACCUUAUCUUCAAGAAAUCCCUUGUUCUAUCUUAUCCUUAGCAUAAAAUAAAAUCUUAACUAUUCAAAGUUAAAAACGACCGUAGCGUUGUUCUCUUCACAAAGUAACUAUUUAAAUUUAAUUUUUUCUAUCUCUCCUAAUCGUAAUUUUCAGGAGUCAAUACUAAAAGCGUACGGUACGCUACUAUCAUUACAGUGAUCACGUUAGUUGGAUCAUCUCGGAAAGGAUAAACUUUAAUCAGUAGGCUGCAGAAAAACGUUGAGUUAAUUCAAUAGUGUAACAAGGACAAAAACUGAGAUGCGGACGACAUGGCUUUUACGUUAUAUUUUAUCUUUUGUUUUAUAUUUAUUAUCUUGUCUUUAAGCCCGUCUUUAC